CUACACAGCUAUGGCCGCACUGGCAUUGAUGCAUAUUUGUGUACUGUAAAGUAAUAACAGCCUCUGAGGGUAUUUUUGUGAGAAUUGCUACUGUCUUCACUCAAACCUCUAAAUAGCUUCUCAAAUUCAGAGCUUGGAGUAUAACUUAUUAUGGCACACAAUGUUAGUGGCUUUAUUUUGAGACCACAGGACAUGCAAGCACCAGCUGGACUUCCUUUAUGAAACAAUGAUUUUACAGAAUUGAGAGUAUCAUUAAAAAUUGACGUAGUCUCUGUGAGUUCUCCCACAUGUUUCUGAAAGCUCAGCAUUGAAGGUAAGUAUAGCUGGCCCUGGCUGUUGCCAUGUUUGCAGUUCUAACUCUGGUGCUACUUUGCCAGCUAAUACAAAAAUGGGCCAAUAUGUGGAGUGUGGUUAAAAUUGACUCAGCUAUAUAAAGCAGCCACCCCUUCACCCCUUGCACAGUUGUCAUGAAUGGGGAAAUCAGCUAUAGAGACUGAAACUGUUUAGGUACUAGGCUAUAAACAUUAUUUAUGCUUUAAAGUUGGACAUUUUAAUAUUGGGACUCAUGGAAUUCACUUGCUUUUGGAAUCAGCCUCCAAAAGUGAGUCAAUCUCCAUAAAGCGACAGUGGCAAGUUCUAGGAACUGCAGUUAUCAGCUUCAUUUGUCAGCCACAAAGGUUGCCACUUGUCUUUUGCACAAAAAAAUCACGACUUAAUUUAACUGCAUAUUAGUUACAAAAUUAGAUUAGUGAGAGUGAGUUUGUUACUGUUGUUUCUCUCCCCUAGAGCUUGUGGAAGAAGAAAAUCAGUAUAUGAUAGUGAUUGCUGUGGCUGUUCCUUGUGUGUGCUGCCUGAUCUUUAUAAUUGUGUUGACCAUUCUGCACAGAGUCUGCAAACCGUGUGCAGGAAAUAGCACCCAUCCUCCCACUACAGAAGUGGAGGAGCAAACAGAAGAUAUUUAUGAAAACUGCCUGGAAUCGUAUCCUGAACGACGUGGCUAUAAUCAGUCAUGUCAUUUCAAUCCCCGAGCUCAGUGAUAAUGAAGUGCACACCAACACCUUAAAGGCCUCUGCACACCAAUCCGAUUAUCGCCUGCUGUUAUGGGGACGUAUUACGCCUCGCGCACACGCA